UGAGCAAUCUGCCCUUCUCUUUGGAAUAAGCGUUGGAAACGACGUCUAAUGCCGAAUACGACCUCCUUUCGCAUGAUCGGAGGUGGAAAGCUCCGGCGGAGAAGGAUGAGCUCGCGGCCUAUCAGCUAGUUGGUGUUGGUAAUGGCCCACCAAGGCGACGACGGGUAGCCGGCCUGAGAGGGUGACCGGCCACACUGGGACUGAGACACGGCUCAGACUCCUACGGGAGCAG
rnacentral:rRNA from 1 species